CAGUCGCCGCGGUAAAACGGAGGGUGCAAGCGUUAAUCGGAAUUACUGGGCGUAAAGCGCACGCAGGCGGUCUGACAAGUCAGAUGUGAAAUCCCCGGGCUUAACCUGGGAACUGCAUUUGAAACUGUUAGGCUGGAGUCUUGUAGAGGGGGGUAGAAUUCCAGGUGUAGCGGUGAAAUGCGUAGAGAUCUGGAGGAAUACCGGUGGCGAAGGCGGCCCCCUGGACAAAGACUGACGCUCAGGUGCGAAAGCGUGGGGAGCAAACAGGAUUAGAUACCCCUGUAGUCCCUGUCUCUUAUAC
rnacentral:rRNA from 1 species